CAGAAACAAAGGACCAAAAUCUGUUUAGACAGUAUGAUGCUGGGAGAACUAGAUAUCAUGAUGGUAGUGCUGUCUGUCCUUCAGCUCUGUGUGACCAUCAGUUUCUGUGUUUUGACUGGAAAAGUUUUGUGCAAGAAGGAUGAAGAUGCGAAGUCGGUGGAGGAUCCAGAACUUCACAAGCCGCUCCUGGAAGACUCCACUGCUGGUGCUGCGUGACAAGAUGAACAAAAAUAAUCAAAGUCAUUUGUUUUGCUUGGC